GAUGAACGCUGGCGGCGUGCCUAUACCUGCAAGUCGCGCGAACAGACGAGGAGCUUGCUCCUCUGACGUUAGCGGCGGACGGGUGAGUAACACGUGGAUAACCUACCUAUAAGACUGGGAUAACUUCGGGAAACCGGAGCUAAUACCGGAUAAUAUAUUGAACCGCAUGGUUCAAUAGUGAAAGACGGUUUUGCUGUCACUUAUAGAUGGAUCCGCGCCGCAUUAGCUAGUUGGUAAGGUAACGGCUUACCAAGGCGACGAUGCGUAGCCGACCUGAGAGGGUGAUCGGCCACACUGGAACUGAGACACGGUCCAGACUCCUACGGGAGGCAGCAGUAGGGAAUCUUCCGCAAUGGGCGAAAGCCUGACGGAGCAACGCCGCGUGAGUGAUGAAGGUCUUCGGAUCGUAAAACUCUGUUAUUAGGGAAGAACAAAUGUGUAAGUAACUAUGCACGUCUUGACGGUACCUAAUCAGAAAGCCACGGCUAACUACGUG
rnacentral:rRNA from 1 species